rnacentral:rRNA from 1 species
CCUACGGGAGGCAGCAGUGAGGAAUAUUGGUCAAUGGGCGCUAGCCUGAACCAGCCAAGUAGCGUGAAGGAUGACUGCCCUAUGGGUUGUAAACUUCUUUUAUAUGGGAGUAAAGUGCAGUAUGUAUACUGCUUUGCAUGUACCUUAUGAAUAAGGAUCGGCUAACUCCGUGCCAGCAGCCGCGGUAAUACGGAGGAUUCGAGCGUUAUCCGGAUUUAUUGGGUUUAAAGGGAGCGUAGGCGGGUUGUUAAGUCAGUUGUGAAAGUUUGCGGCUCAACCGUAAAAUUGCAGUUGAUACUGGCAGCCUUGAGUACAGUAGAGGUAGGCGGAAUUCGUGGUGUAGCGGUGAAAUGCUUAGAUAUCACGAAGAACUCCGAUUGCGAAGGCAGCCUGCUGGACUGUAACUGACGCUGAUGCUCGAAAGUGUGGGUAUCAAACAGGAUUAGAUACCCUAGUAGUC